rnacentral:rRNA from 1 species
GACGAACGCUGGCGGCGUGCUUAACACAUGCAAGUCGAACGGAAAGGCCUCUUUCGGGGGGUACUCGAGUGGCGAACGAGUGAGUAACACGUGAGUAACCUGCCCUUGCUUUUGGGAUAACUUCAGGAAACUGGGGCUAAUAACGGAUAGGUACUCCUGCUGCAUGGUGGGGGUUGGAAAGUUUCGGCGGUUGGGGAUGGACUCGCGGCUUAUCAGCUUGUUGGUGGGGUAGUGGCUUACCAAGGCUUUGACGGGUAGCCGGCCUGAGAGGGUGACCGGCCACAUUGGGACUGAGAUACGGCCCAGACUCCUACGGGAGGCAGCAGUGGGGAAUAUUGCACAAUGGGUGGAAGCCUGAUGCAGCAACGCCGUGUGCGGGAUGACGGCCUUCGGGUUGUAAACCGCUUUCGCUCAUGACGAAGCUUUGUGUGACGGUAGUGGGUAAAGAAGCACCGGCUAACUACGUG